UCAUCCAUAGCUCAAUGGUAGAGCACCUGACUGUUAAUCAGGGGGUUGCAGGUUCGAAUCCUGCUGGAUGAG
rnacentral:tRNA from 1 species